rnacentral:rRNA from 1 species
GACGAACGCUGGCGGCGUGCUUAACACAUGCAAGUCGAACGGAAAGGCCCUGCUUUUGUGGGGUGCUCGAGUGGCGAACGGGUGAGUAACACGUGAGUAACCUGCCCUUGACUUUGGGAUAACUUCAGGAAACUGGGGCUAAUACCGGAUAGGAGCUCCUGCUGCAUGGUGGGGGUUGGAAAGUUUCGGCGGUUGGGGAUGGGCUCGCGGCUUAUCAGCUUGUUGGUGGGGUAGUGGCUUACCAAGGCUUUGACGGGUAGCCGGCCUGAGAGGGUGACCGGCCACAUUGGGACUGAGAUACGGCCCAGACUGCUACGGGAGGCAGCAGUGGGGAAUAUUGCACAAUGGGCGGAAGCCUGAUGCAGCAACGCCGCGUGCGGGAUGACGGCCUUCGGGUUGUAAACCGCUUUCGCCUGUGACGAAGCGUGAGUGACGGUAAUGGGUAAAGAAGCACCGGCUAACUACGUG